GUCACGCUGUAAACGAUGUCGAUUUGGAGGUUGUUGCCUUGAGGAGUGGCUUCCGGAGCUAACGCGUUAAAUCGACCGCCUGGGGAGUACGGCCGCAAGGUUAAAACUCAAAUGAAUUGACGGGGGCCCGCACAAGCGGUGGAGCAUGUGGUUUAAUUCGAUGCAACGCGAAGAACCUUACCUACUCUUGACAUCCAGAGAAUUUAGCAGAGAUGCUUUAGUGCCUUCGGGAACUCUGAGACAGGUGCUGCAUGGCUGUCGUCAGCUCGUGUUGUGAAAUGUUGGGUUAAGUCCCGCAACGAGCGCAACCCUUAUCCUUUGUUGCCAGCACAUUAUGGUGGGAACUCAAAGGAGACUGCCGGUGAUAAACCGGAGGAAGGUGGGGAUGACGUCAAGUCAUCAUGGCCCUUACGAGUAGGGCUACACACGUGCUACAAUGGCGUAUACAAAGAGAAGCGACCUCGCGAGAGCAAGCGGAACUCAUAAAGUACGUCGUAGUCCGGAUUGGAGUCUGCAACUCGACUCCAUGAAGUCGGAAUCGCUAGUAAUCGUAGAUCAGAAUGCUACGGUGAAUACGUUCCCGGGCCUUGUACACACCGCCCGUCACACCAUGGGAGUGGGUUGCAAAAGAAGUAGGUAGCUUAACCUUCGGGAGGGCGCUUACCACUUUGUGAUUCAUGACUGGGGUGAAGUCGUAACAAGGUAACCA
rnacentral:rRNA from 1 species